GCCUUGGUGGUACAGUGGUUAGCACAGCUGCUUUCUGAGCAGUUGGCCUGGGUUUGAUUCCUGGCCAAUGCA